CAGAUCAACCAGCGCCACCGCAGCGGCAAAUUACAGAGUGAAGCGUCGUUGCAUUUGGGAGUAAUUUACUUCCAACUGCACCGUUGUAGUUACGGCGCAUAGCGACUAAAUGUUGGUGAGGUUGCAAUAAUUCACGAAAAGCAACACAGAUAAUGUCUUUUACACACUCAGGCACUUGACUAAUAAUGACCUAUUAGGCUGCGCAAAACUGCAGGAAAAUGACGAACACUGAUUGAGCGUUAGCCACUUAGCUGCGGUUUGUUUUUGCACUGAAUGACGUCAAAACGCUACUUUAUUGGGUCAUUUCAGGAAAAGUGCGGAACCAUGAGCCACGAAACAAGACUACACUCAGAGGACACGUCGGAGAUGUGGAGAAGUGGACAUGGAGCGUUGAACUUGGCUCCUCUGCCAGGUGAUAGGACAGAAGCCACCUACAAACCUGGGACUGAGACCAGCAGCAUGAAACAUCUGAUAGAAGAGAUGAAGACGCUUUACAAGCAGAGACUGAGAUGUCUGGAGCUGGACUCCUCUCUGACCAGAGAAGAGCUGCUACAAAAGAAAGUGGAUUUCCUGUGGUCUUAUGUGAAUGACUUUGCAGACCAGAACCAGGUGCUGCUUCAAACCAUCGAGGAACUUCACAAGGAAACGGAGCACAAGUGUUCCAGUUGGGGAAUGAAGCUGUGCACCUCGGAUCCUAAUUUAAGCGUGUCUGGAGUUGAUCUAAAGACUUUGUCGCUGGAAGAUCUUGAUCGACCUGCAGCUCACGUCCCACAGAACCCUGUUUCCUUGGUCCAGUUAAAAGGCCUCAAAAUUCACCUGCAAAACACGAACAUGGUCGCCUCUGAUCUGGAGCUGGGGAGCCAGGAGCAUUUAGAGCACAAGCUAAAGAACUUGCAGAGUGAGCUGUCUUGUCUGCAGCAGAUCCACAAAGACAAUAUGAAGGAAAUCGCUGAGAAAGACAUUUGCAUAACCAAACUGCAGGUGAACCUUGAGCUGCUGCAGCAGGAGUCGUCUGACUCUCGUGAUCAGGUCUCCAGGUUGAAUGUGAAAGUGAAGGAGCUGCAGGAGGAGUUGAAGGGGAAAGAGGAGGAGUGGGUGAAACAAGAGGAAGACCUGAAGCAGAAGACUGACGAGGAGCGGAGGGCCCAGGCUCAGGCUGCGAAGUCAUGGGCUGAGAAAGCAGCUGUUUUGAAUUCUGAGAUCCAAGGCAGAGAGGAGCGCGUGAGGCGGCUGGACCAGAAUGUGGCUGCGCUGCGAGCCUCCCAGGACUCCCUGAAGAGAACGCUGGCCGUGAAGGAGAAGCACACGCGGCAGCUGCUCCGCGACAACGCACAGCUCCGCGAGAGCCUGGCGACGCUGCGGAGCCAAUCGCAAAAGAGCGAAUGCACGUUGAGCCACAUCAGCGAAGCCCUGGAUCAGAGCAAAAGCUGUCUAGAGGCGGAAAGACGGCAGAGGCAGCAGAUCCAGGACCAGCUGCACCACAGCAGCACAGAGGUAGAGCGACUUCAGAAGGAGCUGGCAAUGGUGCAUCACGCAACUGAAAAAAAGAUACAAAAGAGAGAACUCAAGAUUUGUGCUCUGGCGAAGGAGCUCACGGAGAGUAAGCAGCAUCGCUCUGAAUGUCAGGAAGAGUUGUUCAAGAAGGAGAAGGAUCUGGAGAAAGGGUGCGAGGAGAGGGACGAGCUGAGGGUCCAGCUGGAGGCCCAGAGCCGAGAGUGUGUCCUCCUCAUCCAGACCAGAGAGAGGCUGGAGGCAGACCUGGCUCUGAGCCGCGAGAGGGUCCACACCUCGCGCCUGGAGGUUCGAAGCAGAGAUCAGUUCAUCGUGCAGCUACGAGCCGAGGUGACGGCCGCUGAGCAAAAGCACUGGGCCGCGCAGGAGCAGGUGGCAUCACUGGAGGAUGAGGUAAGGCAUUUGAACCGCGAUGUCAGAGGACGCCAGGAAGAGGCCUCUCAGCUAAGCAGAAAAAUCAGAGAUAUCGAGCAGCUCAAGGAGCAGAAGGAGAAAGAGCAACAGGAGCUGCACGAUCAGCUUCGUAUUAGUCAGCAACAGUUAUUGGCGUCACAUCAGCAGCUGAAAGGAGCCAAGCAGGAGCUGGAAAAUGCCACUCUGCAAACCCAGGAGCACAAAGAAGCACUGGCCGCUCUGAAACAAGAGCACGCGGCGGUGCUGGAGAAGGCGAACGCGGUUCAAGGGCAAGUCGAGCAGUUGGAAGAGGAGCUGCGUUAUUCACAGCAACAGCUGAGAGAGUCUCAAUUAGCAUCUCGUUCAGUGCAAAAAGAGCUAGUUGAACUGGAGCGGCGCCACCAGGAAAAGGUUGGCCAGUGGGAGAGCUCACGGGAGGCUCUUGACCGGCUGACAGAUGAGCUCCAGGCCAAUCAGAACCUGCUGAGGGACAGUCGGCAUGAAGUGGAGCACUUCAAAAAUCGCACGGAGUCCCUGCGGGCGCAGGUGGACGCGCUCAAACAGCAGAAACUGAUGUUGGAGCAGGACCUGCACCUCUAUCAACAGAGUCAUUCUCAUUCUGAUGAUGAGUACCUCAGUCUGGCAAAAUGCUCUCAGCAGCUCCAACAGCACUGUAGUGAGCAGGUGGAGCGCUUUGCUGAGUGUGAAAAGACUAUUCUUCACAUGAAGUCAGAGCUGGAGCGACAGGCCGAGAAAAAGGCGAGUUUGAAGCAGAUGCUCGCGUCAUCCCACAGCGCGCACCUGAGCAGUCGCAGCAAGCUGGAACAGGAAGUGUCACAUUUGAAAAAGGAAGUAGGACGCUUAGAGCUGGAGCUGGCCGACUCCCAAAAGGUUCACGCCGACGUCCUCGGGCGAUCGGAGGAGGAGCUGAAGGGAGCCCGGCGGGAGGCUUUGAGGAGCAGCAGGGAGCUGGAAGUGCAGAGAGGCGAGGUGCAGAGGCUUCAGGCCGAGUUACGGGAGGAGGAGGACAAGUUGAGGUGUGCUGUCACCGAGAAACUGAGUCUGAGCGCCUGCGUCAGGCGGCUGAGCCAAGAAGUGGAGGAGCUCCGCAGCAAGCACCGAGUGACAGUGGAAGAGUUGGCAGCCCGUGCGGACGAGGCGAGGCAGAUGGAGGGCUGCCUGAACGAGGGGAAGCUAGCGGAGGAGAAAAUGAGAUCAAUGGCCAGGAGCCUGGAGAUGGAGGUGGCAGGGCUCAGGAAGAACCUUCGGGAGGCUGUCGAUCAGAAAGCGGCGGCGGAGAGGGAAAAACAAGGCGCGCAGGACCAGGUGGACACGCUGCAGCUGGAGCUGGAGGCAGCGCGAUCAGACAGAGCGAGUCUUUGUCACGAGUCUCAGAUGGUCAUGACGAACGUCAGCCAGUGGAUUUCUGAACAGAAGGCUUCUAAUGAAAGUCUCGCUGCCCAGAUGAAGGCCCAGAGCAAGCUGCUUCUCAUUGCCACUGAAGAGAGGGAACAUCUUCAGGAGACUAAUGACACACUGAAGGCGGAGGUAGAGAGACUGAAGGGAGCGCUGGAUGAGAAGGACAGAGACGUGGAGGGAUUCAAGGCCCAGAUCCGGCACCAGAGCAUGCGGCUCGACAGGAGAACCGCGGAAAAUCAAGGUUGUGUGGCUUUAAACCUCAGCAAAAUCGAGGACAUGCAGACCAGAAUGCGAAGCAACCUGGAGGCCAUUGGGAUGUUAAAUCAACAAUUAAACACCCUCAGCCAGGAAAAUGAGCAGCUGCGUAGGCAGCUGGAUGAAGAAAGGUGCAUGCGCAGACAAAUGGAGCGGCUUCUCCCUCCCACCUCCCAGCACUGCUCCACCCACCUCCCCGUCUCCCCCGGUGCCCACCCACCGCCUGAGUGCGCCUCCCUCCCUCCGCUCCCUCACCUGCCUCACCCACUGAGCUCGACUUGGGUGACGGGGGACACGAGCUCGGCCGAGUGGAGCUGA
ensembl:lncRNA coiled-coil domain-containing protein 18-like